rnacentral:lncRNA from 1 species
GUAACCAGAAUGGGCAUGAGAAUUGAAGCCACUCUCUUUCUUCAACACGGGUAGCCAUUAUUUUCUACUCCGGGUUCUUCAAGGUCUAACUCUAAGACGCCAUGAUACUUCCAACGAGUACCAAUCAUGUUGUCUACUUCGUGGACUCCAUGGCUACUCCAAACUGCUACUGAACUUUUGUUGCGGUUUGAGCUCUCUUCUUGAGAUCUCUAGAUCGCUUCUUAGAACAUGUUAAACCAUGAUGGUUUUAACCAUUUUCGAGCCUUGAAACCUUGUACAUCAAUGAUUUUGAAGUCUUGUGCACAUUCAAUCUUGAGCUCCAUGACUUUGACACUUGAAUGCGUGAGCUUGAUUCAGCAUUCCCACCAGAUUUCUUCUCUAAUUUGAUCGUCCACCAAUGUCACUUCCUCUCUAACAACCACUUGAGUUCGCUGGCCAGAUUUCUUCUUCGUGUUGUGUUGUCUUGAGUUUUGACUUGGUUGGAUCGUCUAAAUGGACCUUAUGCCUUCAAAUAUAACCGGCUCUACUCUUCACUUUCUUAGUCCUUCAUGACUUGUUCUGAAUCCUUUCCUUGUCAACUUUUACUUCCUUGAGGCUCUCAUUGGUCUCUUUGAGGCUCUUAUGGUCUCCUUCACCCUUAAACAAGAGAUAAAGAAGAAGAGAUUAAGUUUUGCCAUAAGGAAUAUCAAAGAGAAACUUAACUCAACCAAAUGAGGAAUAUCAAAGCUAUUAAGCAACAAUUAGGAGUUCAUGAAUAUGAUUAAGCUGUGAAUUCUAAGGCAAUGGUUUAAUGAAAAAUAUCAUGAAAUGAGAGUAGAGUUUAGAAACAGCCUUUAUUUGAAGAAGAC